AGCGAACGCUGGCGGCAGGCCUAACACAUGCAAGUCGAACGAAGUCUUCGGACUUAGUGGCGGACGGGUGAGUAACACGUGGGAACGUACCUUUUGGUUCGGAGCAACUCAGGGAAACUUGAGCUAAUACCGAAUGUGCCCUUCGGGGGAAAGAUUUAUCGCCAUUAGAGCGGCCCGCGUUAGAUUAGCUAGUUGGUGGG
rnacentral:rRNA from 1 species